UUUGAUUACCUUCUGAAAUGGUAAGAAUGAACGUCACCGACUUUUAUGUGUAGCAAAAAGUGUUACCUCGAAAUUGAGCAAAAAUUAACCGUAAAUUUUUCUUUUUAACUUUUGUUGUUAAAUUGGCGGCAAAUUCGUGCAGCAAAUUUUCAGUAAUUUCAAUGUCAAAUUACUGUCAAUUUCAAUCUAAAAUAGCUAUACGGAGUUCUUCAAUUUAAUUUUAUUUAAGCUAAUUGGUAAAAAAUUGACAUUAGUUUGAUUGAAAUAGUUGUCAAGUUUUUUCUUCUACUUAUGACAAUUCGCAUGCAACUCACAACAAUUUCAAGUAAAACUAAAAUUUGUCCCAGUGGUAUCUUGGUAAACGACUAGUCCCCAGUCGAUGGUAGCUCUGAUCAGACUCUUGUGUAUCUGGAGCACUGAGGAGGGGCGUGCUCUCCACUUCCAUCCUAUGGUAGCGUUAACGAUUUGAUUGCACAUUUUGGCUCUGCUCCUGGUGUUGGUGGUGUGAUUAUUCCAUUUAAGCUCGAUGUUGAUUGUAAAGAUAAUGCUCACCAUCUUCUCCAGAGAUUCGUCUCUGACGAUAACGCCCAUAAUACCUUCUUGGACCUCGUUAAAAUUUUUUAGACUUAUUUUUCGGACAAUUAUCUCGAUCAUACUUAAAGAUGAGUUGAAUCGGUUAAUAAAUUAAAAAGUUAUCGGUAGUUUAAAUUUUACCAAUUUUCAAGAAACAUCUUCUGCUGCUUGGUCUGUAAAUAACUUUUAAGCCAAACGUCAUAGUUCAUUUCUGUUGAAAGUAUUUUGAUUAUCGAUUAAUAAGCUUUCGAUUUUGCUUUUUACCUUAGCAUUUCAACUAUUUUUGUCAAUAAUUUGAUAACCUUGAAAACUUAUUAACUAUUUGUAAUUUCAUGAGUAUGAGUGUAGCAGACAAUUGGAAAUUAAAAAAAUUUUGAUAUA